rnacentral:rRNA from 1 species
GGAAACCGGAGCUAAUACCGGAUAGUUCCUUGAACCGCAUGGUUCAAGGAUGAAAGACGGUUUCGGCUGUCACUUACAGAUGGACCCGCGGCGCAUUAGCUAGUUGGUGGGGUAAUGGCUCACCAAGGCGACGAUGCGUAGCCGACCUGAGAGGGUGAUCGGCCACACUGGGACUGAGACACGGCCCAGACUCCUACGGGAGGCAGCAGUAGGGAAUCUUCCGCAAUGGACGAAAGUCUGACGGAGCAACGCCGCGUGAGUGAUGAAGGUUUUCGGAUCGUAAAGCUCUGUUGUUAGGGAAGAACAAGUGCGAGAGUAACUGCUCGCACCUUGACGGUACCUAACCAGAAAGCCACGGCUAACUACGUGCCAGCAGCCGCGGUAAUACGUAGGUGGCAAGCGUUGUCCGGAAUUAUUGGGCGUAAAGGGCUCGCAGGCGGUUUCUUAAGUCUGAUGUGAAAGCCCCCGGCUCAACCGGGGAGGGUCAUUGGAAACUGGGAAACUUGAGUGCAGAAGAGGAGAGUGGAAUUCCACGUGUAGCGGUGAAAUGCGUAGAGAUGUGGAGGAACACCAGUGGCGAAGGCGACUCUCUGGUCUGUAACUGACGCUGAGGAGCGAAAGCGUGGGGAGCGAACAGGAUUAGAUACCCUGGUAGUCCACGCCGUAAACGAUGAGUGCUAAGUGUUAGGGGGUUUCCGCCCCUUAGUGCUGCAGCUAACGCAUUAAGCACUCCGCCUGGGGAGUACGGUCGCAAGACUGAAACUCAAAGGAAUUGACGGGGGCCCGCACAAGCGGUGGAGCAUGUGGUUUAAUUCGAAGC